GUGGAGAUAGCUCAGUCUGUAAAGCAUUUGCCUUGCAAGCACAAGGGCCUAAGUUCAAUUCCCAGAAUCCACA
rnacentral:tRNA from 1 species